GGACACAUUUAUUUACCUCUUAAAAAUAAAUGAAAAAUCAGAAACAAAAGGCCUCUAUAUUUAAGGUACUUAGCCAAAAAAAAAAAAAACUCCUUAAGCGAUAACUUUACUCUCUCAAAGUCAUGAAAUCCCCAAAUCUUCUUUUAUCAAAACCUAAGUGAUACGGUAAGCUAUCGAUAACACAGAAUUCGUCGCACGAAUUCUCCAUUGUCGGAGGAGAGACCUAAUAUCAGCCUUAGGUCUCUCGUCUAUGAGUUCUUGUGCAGCAGAGAAGUGUGGUAUCUUUGAUAUAUGUAGUUCGUCCGUUGCUAGGAUUGAGUUUGUUCUUUUUCUCUGUGCCCAAUUUCAAAAUUAGAAUCUCUUGCCAAAGCAUCAAGAUGUGGUGAGUCAACUUAUCCUUUUCAAAAAGGAGUAUAUCUGUCAGUCACUAAAGAAGAAAUCUUCAACCCCGCCCUGAUUCCACCUCUACGCUCUCCACCAUUUCACCAUGUGAUUAUUGGAGAGGGAGCUAACUUUGCCGCUUAUGCAUAGGCCCCGACAAUACUUGUGCACACCUAGGGGCUUUAAGUAUGAUUGCCAGGUACGUCGUUAUGUAGUGCAUUUUUUAUAUUUUUGUUAUCAUUUUUACUCAUUACAUCUUAUAGAUCCUUGUUAUUUAAUACAUCUUAUAGAUUACUCAAUGUUUGAGGAAGUAUAAACAAACGACAAAUUCGAAUGAAAUGAUACUUAGUUGUCAAUGUCUGUUUGUUUCUUUAGGUCAGAUUUAUACUUUGGGGCCACAUUUAGAAGUCUAGCCUAAAGAUGGGAUUCUUAAGAGCCAUAUUCAAUGGUUUGACCAGUUUGGGGUCUUAAUCUUGUUUUAUGUUUCUGUAUCUGAUUGAGCAACUUAAAAAUUCAUCUGUACUCUGAUUUUAUUAUUGAGAUCUCGUCCAUUAAUCUGAAGCUACAUUUUCAACUAUACAACAACAACAUAUCCAGUGAAACCCCACAUAGUGGGGUUUGAGGAGGAUAGAUAGUUGGAAAAUAUUAUAUUUCUUAGAACUUUGCUUUAAAUACUCUAGCUCAUGUUAAACAUGUUGGUUGAAAUUUUGAUCUUCCUUCUUAUGGAAAUUGAACUUUAUGCAACUUAAAGGUUGGAGCGCCAUUUUGUGAGCAUUUGCUUCCAUGGCUGAAUUUAACGUUUGCUGGAAGCUAGUAGCUGCUAUAUUUAUAAUUUACUUCAUUUAUAUUCAUCCAAACAGUGAGCAGCUAAGGUUGAACUUGUUUCUUAUAUCAUUUUUAUGAGAAAUGACUAAAUUUCUCAGUACUGCUUUGUUUUAUAUGCUUUAAAGCUCUAUCUCAAAGGACUUACCGUUAAAGAAAGUGCAAUUGUUGUUUUGAUGAUGGAAAAAGCCUUAUUCAAGAUCGAUAAAAGAGCAAUUUUCGACCAGAUGGAAAAAGUCUUAUUGUUGUUAACUCUUGUUACUUUUAUUUGUUUCCAGUUUAAUUUUUGUGAUUCCUUGUUUGGUACCAGAAAGAGUUCAUAGUCUCACUUGGUUUGGUGGAAGGUUAAAAGAAUUACCAUCUACAGUAUGAGAAUGGAAAUCUUUUAGUUAGGAACAUAUAUUACAUGAAGAAUAGCAGCGAGCUCUUAUUUUUCUAACUUCGCCAGUGUAAUCUAUAGAAAUUGAGAGAAGUCCAGUUGCGUGUUUCUCUUUAAAUGGGAAACGACGCCUUAAAUUCAAACACUUCUAUUAUUCUUGUCAGUUAUCACGGUUAUUCUGUAAGUUGUGGUUCUUUAAAAUAUAUUUUUGGAUCUUGGUUAAUGCGUCGCAAAGCUUUUCUAAUCAAUUUUCUUAAUUUUCCAGCAGCAUUGUUGAUGUUGUUGGAUAACACCUCAUGAAUUUAGACUUCUUUUGGGAUUUUGAAGAUUGAAGUUACAAGUCAAGAUGAAGUUUAGAAAAUGCACAAGCUCAUUAUUAAUUUUCUAGGAAUGUAUUGCAAAACAUGAUAUCAUAGUCUAGCUCGGGAUGUUAGCUUAGUUCUUUUGUUUAGGUGUUGAGCACAUAUUGAAACUAACAUCAUGGGAUGUUAACCAUUUUAUUGUAAUUAAUAACUCGUCUUUCUGUCCAUAUAAAACUUUUUUAUAUCUAGAUUUUUCAGUAGCAA